GCUGGGUGUGGUAGCACACACCUGUAAUCCCAGCAGCUCGGGAGGCUGAGGCAGGAGGAUCACCAGUUCAAAGCCAGCCUCAGCAAUUUAGCAAGGCCCUAAGCAACUUAGUGAGACCCUGUCUCUA
rnacentral:sRNA from 1 species